CCUACGGGGGGCUGCAGUGAGGAAUAUUGGUCAAUGGGCGAGAGCCUGAACCAGCCAAGUCGCGUGAGGGAGUACUGCCCUAUGGGUUGUAAACCUCUUUUGUCGGGGAGCAAAAGCCGGACGUGUCCGUCUGUGAGAGUACCCGAAGAAAAAGCAUCGGCUAACUCCGUGCCAGCAGCCGCGGUAAUACGGAGGAUGCGAGCGUUAUCCGGAUUUAUUGGGUUUAAAGGGUGCGCAGGCGGAUUUUUAAGUCAGCGGUCAAAUCGUGGGGCUCAACCCCAUCCAGCCGUUGAAACUGGGGAUCUAGAGUGUGCGAGAGGUAUGCGGAAUGCGUGGUGUAGCGGUGAAAUGCAUAGAUAUCACGCAGAACCCCGAUUGCGAAGGCAGCAUACCGGUGCACAACUGACGCUCAGGCACGAAAGCGUGGGUAUCGAACAGGAUUAGAUACCCUAGUAGUC
rnacentral:rRNA from 1 species